rnacentral:rRNA from 1 species
UGCCAGCCGCCGCGGUAAUACGUAGGGUGCAAGCGUUGUCCGGAAUUAUUGGGCGUAAAGAGCUCGUAGGCGGUGUGUCACGUCUGCUGUGAAAAUCCAAGGCUCAACCUUGGACCUGCAGUGGGUACGGGCACACUAGAGUGCGGUAGGGGAGAUUGGAAUUCCUGGUGUAGCGGUGGAAUGCGCAGAUAUCAGGAGGAACACCAAUGGCGAAGGCAGAUCUCUGGGCCGUAACUGACGCUGAGGAGCGAAAGCGUGGGGAGCGAACAGGAUUAGAUACCCUGGUAGUCCACGCCGUAAACGGUGGGAACUAGAUGUGGGGUCCGUUCCACGGAUUCCGUGUCGCAGCUAACGCAUUAAGUUCCCCGCCUGGGGAGUACGGCCGCAAGGCUAAAACUCAAAGGAAUUGACGGGGGCCCGCACAAGCGGCGGAGCAUGCGGAUUAAUUCGAUGCAACGCGAAGAACCUUACCAAGGCUUGACAUAUAGAGGAAAAGUGCAGAGAUGCACUCCCCGCAAGGUCUCUAUACAGGUGGUGCAUGGGUUGUCGUCAGCUUCGUGUCGUGAAGAUGUUGGGUUAAGUCCGCAACGAAGCGCAACCCUCGUCUAUGUUGCCAGCACGUAAAGGUGGGAACUCAUGGGAUACUGCCGGGUCAACUCGGAGGAAGGUGGGGAUGACGUCAAUCAUUCAUGCCCUUAUGUCUGGCUUCACGCAUGCUACAAUGGCCGUACAAAGGCUUGAUACCGAGGGUGAGCGAAUCCAAAGCCGGCUCA